GACGCGCGUAGGCUAGGCAGCGCGCGGCAGAGGCGUUGGCACCGAGGCUGAGACGGUUGAGGCCAUUCCGGGCAGUUGACUGCAUAGCCAGAAGUCCGAAGCCGCUUAUGGAGAAUCACAAUGGAAGAAUCUAGAAUUUGCCGAGUAGGAGUAAAACCAGAUAUGUUGCAUCACUGUCAAUCAAAUGAUAUUCCUCAGUGUAAUGACUCAAAUUAUGGUAGCACAUCUAACAAGCAUUCAGUGGAAGAGGAUGAAAGCAGUAACAUUACAGCAAAGAGCAGGGAUUUACUGAGCCCAGUGUACUGCACACAAGAGUCAAGAGAGGAACCUCCAGGGCCAGGAGCUGGAGCAGAUCCCUCUGGUGGUCAACAAGAUUCAGAGUGCCGCAGAAACAAAGAAAAAAACUUAGGAAAAGAAGUAUUAUUAUUGAUGCAAGCCUUAAACACUCUUUCAACUCCAGAGGAGAAGCUGGCAGCUCUGUGUAAGAAAUACGCUGAUCUUGUGAGUAUUAAGGGAGUGAGGCCCAUGUAUAGCAUAGCAAACUGUGUGUAUGUGCUUGAUAAACUUUGAAAAUGUGGUUUUGAUACAGUUUUAUGUUUAAAAUCAUAUUAGAGAAUUGAGGGGAAGAAUCAAAUUUCUCGGGAGUUAUGCUGAUUGUUUGACUUAGUAUUGUGAUACACAGUUUAGAACAUUAUAAUGCUUUUUGAGAUGUACCCUGAAAGUCAGUCAGCCUUGGCAUUUCCAGACUCACUUUUUUUGUUUAUAUGUGUAAUGCCUCUCAGUUGAAAGAGACUGGCUUUUUUGGCUAAAUUCAGGAAUUCUAGACAUGAAAGGAAUGUUAGAGAUAAAGGCUUUUGCCAUUUUGAUUGAAUUUUUUAGUUACAUGACAGUAAUACAUUUUAAGAAAUAUUUACUGAGAAUCUACUGUUUGCUAGGUUGUGUUCCUUUUUCCUUCUUCCAAAGUUCACUCAUGGCGUGUUUGUUCUAAUUAUGUGUUUUCAACCAGCACUCUUUUCCUGGAAUUAUGGAAGCACUCUUCAACAUGGAAUCCUUGGUAGAAUCUUAAAAUUCAAGAAUGGAAAAGGCAUAGAACCUUUGAAGAAUUGUUGUGGGAAAUUUUUUGAAUAGUUGGUUCUAAUGUAAAUGCCAAAACAUUGGAUUUUGUGAAGUACUUAGUGAAUUAUCACUGACAAACUGCAUUUUCAUCUGUCGUUAAAAGCGACUAUUCUUUAUCAUUCCUGUGUCUUGUCAGUAAGGACAGAACUGCAACAAAUCUUGUUACUGUUUAUUCAAGUGGCACAUCUAUAUCUGAUUUAGCGCUCUGGCACCCUGCGACAGUGUGAGAAGUGGAAAUGUCCAAGAAUCGCAGAAAAUGAAGUUCCGUUCAAACCAGAGAUUCCAGCUGUCACUGUUGUUGCAUUGCUGACCUAAGAAGGAAAGUUUGCAUUGGAUAUCAAAAUCUUAUGGUACAGUGAAUGAUAAAAAUCAAGAAAGAAGUAUUAGAAAACUAAGGCAGGGACAAAAAAAGAAAGAAACAUGGAGAAAGAAAUUUAGAGAAGAAAAGCAGCAGGAAUAGUUUAGGUUGACUUUCUAUUGGGACAGCAGCAGCCAGCCAUGAAAGGAUUAGGGAAGAAAGAGCAAAUUGAGUAGCAUAGUGAGCUAGGCCAGUUUUUCUUAACCUCAUUACAUGUCACCCAGAGAUCUUGUCAAAUUGUCAAUGCUGAGACAUUUUACAGUAGAUUUUAAGUGGAGAUGGAGAAGAUCGUUAAGGUAGGUUGCAUUCUAACAGGUUCCUAGUUGGUGGUCAAAACUACCAGUCCAGGGACUAAACUUUGAGAAAUAGAAAUCGAGUUAUUUAUUUAUUUAGAUACUUUCUGGAGGUGGAAGGAUAUGGCAAGUAAGAGUUACUGCAUUUAUUUGCAGAAGUGAUACAUUGGAGACUUGUCCAAGGAGUGUCUUCUCUAUGAUGUUUUAUCCUUGUGGAGGUCAGUAGUUCUCAUGAAUAGUAAAAAGUAGUAUAUUUUAGGUUUAAAAUAUGUUUAAAAAAAAACUGCUUCUUAAAAAACUUAUUUUCUAAGUAGUUGAACCACCUUCAGAAUAUAACAUCACUGUCACAUUGAGGGAUAGGAGAGGCUGAGUCAAACUCCGCCCCACAGUGGUGAACUACAAGCAAAAGGGAACUAGAAAACCUGGGUCUAGAGUUUGAACCCAACAUCAUCAGAACCCAGCCUUUAAGGCCUGUACCUGAGAGAAUACCCCCAAAAUCUGAGUUUGAAAAACAACAGGGGGAUUGCACUCAUGUGACCCGAAGGGCUGUUGUAAACCGAGAAAUGCCUUUUAAAAGGCUCCUGCGCCGAUUCACUCUCACCGUGGCUGAGGUCAGAGGUAGGUGUUUAAAAAGCACCCUGACUUUAUGUGAAAGCCAUUCGUUUGCCAAUCUUAGAAGGUGAACCUGAAGAGUAUGCUGGUUUUGAUGGAUAGUUUUGUUAUUUUUUAAAUCUCUGGACAUUUUUCUUCUCCAAGAGAGGGUGCCAUUUUUGUACUCUAUAAAUCUUGCUAAAGCCAGCGGGAGGCAUUUUCACACUUUCCUUCUGUCACAUCCUAUAGUACCAGUACCUGUAGUACCUAUACCAGUACUAGUACCUAUAGUACCUCCCGAGGGAAAUGUUUUACAUGGCUGGUGUUCUGGUUUUGCAACUGCCACUCAGGGGAUUCUGAGCAGAUAUUCUUGGAAAGUCCUGUCUUUGAUUGUCCAUACAUACAUUGAUAUACAUACAUUUUUUAGCUUGAGGGCCAGGCUUUUGUUGUAGCACACCUAUGAUGUUGCUCUCAGGGAACAGAAACUAGAAGACAGGAACUUUGCAAGCUCCCUCUGCUUUGCAUUAGCAUGCUACUGUCUCCCACAAAGGUCUAGAUCUGGUGCCUCAGUAUUUUUAUCUGCUGCCGGGAUGCAUCUACAUUGCUUGGUUCUGGGGACCACAAUGGUGGCCAGUGGGUCACACAGGACUGUAAUAAUCACCAAAAAGUUCUUUAACAGCUAGUGUCCCAGAGCACAACUGGCAGUGAAACAGAGUUAGGUCUUUCUGUGAAAGAGGCUUAUUAGCUUAUGUUCAUAGCUGUGGCCUGAGGGCAGGCAUCGGAAUAGAUACACAUCAAAGGCUAACUAAAACCUUUCAGAGACCUUGGAAGGCAGGUCUUUUCUUUGCGCUUUCCCUCUGAUGCUCCAAAAUGCUAGAUUCUGAGAGGGGAGCGUUCUUACAUGUGUCUGGUACACUGCUCUUUUUGACUGCUGCAUGUGAACCUCCCCUGUGAAGUCCUGGCUCUUUCCCAGGGAGGCUAGUGUACCUGGGCCCCAUGGGACACCAGGAGUCAAAGAGACAGCUGGCUGCCACACAAACAGCACACUGAGAUAGCCUCCUCUUCCUGUGAAAGAUGUUGUUUGCUUGCUUAGAACUUUGGUCCAAGGUCGGGCUUUUGGUUUUGCCUACUUCUAGAGGCUUAAAGAAUUGUUCCUUGGGAAAACAUGCUGAAGGAUGCCAUCAUUUCCCUCUUGGCAGUGCCUCUCAACAUCUUUCCAGUAUCUUGAGGAAGUUGCUUAUCCACUCUUAUGGAGGCCUAAGUUUUACAACUGUUACCAGGGGGACACCAGCAGAUGGCCUGUCUGAGUGGCCAGCACAGCUUGCUCAUAAGUUUACAGGACCAUGCAUAUUUGCAUUCUUUGAAAGCUGCUGCCUUUCAGGGUCAGGCUUCCAAUCAGCUUGAAUGUAGGUGAUGGUGAGAUCUCUGCCUACCCUCUUUGGGACACUGACUGGUCUUGGAACACACUCAAUGACUGGUAACAAUUUAAAAUAAUCUUCUUGGACAGCAGUGGUCAAAGUUUGGCCAGCCUGAAGUAUAAGAUUCAUCUCCUAAAGGAGGCCACUCCUCCAAGUGGGGAGUGUUGGCUAUUUUGUGUGUACAUGUGUGUGUAUGUUCAUGAGUAUGUUAAUGUAUGUAUAUAAGCAAACAUAAGAGACUCAAGAAACAUGAGUAAAAGAGAAAUGUGAGUGAAACAGUAAAAUAAAACCUUGGAGAAAAACAUAAUGAUAAUCAAUGGAGAAUGGAGAUAGGUAAUCUUCCUGAUAAAGGGUUCAAAGUAAUCAUGGGAGAGAUGCCCACUGAGCUCAGAAACAGGUGUGUGAACACAGUGAGAAGAACUUCAGCAAAGACUGGAGAGAUCAGAAUCACAGAACUGAAAACCUAAAACACUGAAAUCACACUAGAGCAGUUCAGUGGCACAAUAGAUGGUAUGAAAGAAAGGCCAGUGAAUUUUAAGCAAGGGCUCUGGAAUUCACCCAAGUAGAAAAUCAAAGGAGAAAAAAAAAAAAAAAUUGAAAAAGUGAAGGCAGCUUUAGGGAUAUGUGGGACAAUAUCAAGUAGACUAAUGGUCUCCUUGUCAGGGACCCAAAGACAGAACACUUUGAGAAAGAAUAAUUGUAAUUUUCUUAAACCUAAGUAAGGAAAUACAUCAUACUUCAAAAAACCCACAGAAUUCCAAAUAAGAUGUACUCAAAGGAACCCGCAGCAAGACACAAUGUAAUUAAAAUGUCAAAAGUUAGAGACAGAGCAGAAGUUAAAGACUUAGGGCAGCAAGAGAAAAAUAACCAGUAGGCAAUCAGCAGAUGUUUCAGCAGAAAUUGCAGCUAAGAAGAGAAUGAUGCAAUAUAAUCAAGGUGCUGAAAGAAAAAAAUUCCAACCAAGAAAUCUCUAUCUGGUAGUAAAAGACAGAGUAAGAAUUUUGCAUGCAAACAAUUCUACAGAAGUUCAGUACCACUAAGCCAGUCUUAAUAGAAAUGUUAGAGGGAUUUCUUUAGGUCAAAAAGAAAGGGCACUAAUUAUUAUAAACAGGAACACAUAUGAAAUUAAUUAUAUUCAACCAUUUGAGACCAAAAACCAGUAAGAAAAUAGCCUUCAGCAAUAUAUCCAACUUAAUAGAUUUAUCACAAUUAUACAGAACAUUCCAUGAAAGAAACAACAUUCUUCUGAAGAAUGCAUGGAACAUUCUGGAGAAGACAGGUUUGUUUUUAGGUCACAAAGCAAGUCUUGAUGAAUGUAGACAAUUCAGUUGUAUUAAUCAGGUUUCAGGUAUAAAAGUAGAAAUCAGUUAUGAGAAAACUAGAACGUUCACAGAAGUUCACUAUUUCAGUUCACUGAAAUAGAAUUAAGUGUUUAUUAAAAAAAAAAAAAAGAUGAGCAAGUUGACAAAUCUUUGGCUAGAUUCAUCAAUAAAAGGAGAGGACUUAAAUAAAAUCAGUGAAAAUGGAGAUGUUGCCACUGACAUUACAGACAUACAAAAGAUUUUAAGAGACUGUUGUCUUCUGAAAACAAAAAUGCUGAAACUAAAAGUUGAGAACUAUGUUGAAUUUGGUUGGUUUUCUGAGGAAGAUACCCUGCAGGAUUGUCUCUCAGAUGCUGCUGAGGGACUGCUUCUAAGAGCUGUACAGGUGGAACCAGGAUGUAUAGGAGUUUUAUAGCAAAAAACCCAGGUAGUUAAAAUAUAAUAAGAUUUCAGUUAGUUAAACAAAAUCAUGCAUCUCAAGUGAAUGAAUUUAGCACUUUUCUGUCUUUGGGAAUAGAUACGAGCCUGGGCUGAUUGAAAUCAUUCUUUUGUUAGGUACCUUAGGUAUCUAGGAUCACUAUUCUGUGAUCUAUUUUCACAGUCCUCUCAGGGUUCAUUUUCAGAAAUAGCUGCAGUGGCUUAUGACUUGAUGGCUUUUGUUUACUGAUAUGGCUGGCAGCAUUCUUAGUCCAUACCAUUAUAACCAGUUACGUGUUUGUAAAUUAUGUAGUUUAGAGGAAAUGGAUAAAUUCCUAGAAAUGUACCAGCAAACAGAAUAGGAUCAUGAGGGAACAGAAAACUGAACAUACCAAUAACUAGUAAGAAGAUUAAAUCAGUAAUCAGAAUACCUUCCUACAAACAAAAGUCAAGAAUGAAAUAGCUUCAUUUGUCAUUUCUACCAGCCAGAGAAGAUUUAAUGCCUGUCUUUUUCAAACUUCAAAAAAUUUGUAAAGGAUGGAACUUUUUUUUUAAAGUCAGGUCUGUAGUUACUGAUGUUUUUUGGUAUAUAUUUUUUUAGUUGUUUUGUUUAUUUUAUUUUUGACUUGGUCUUCCUUGCUGCAUAUGGAUUUUCUCUAGCUUCCGCAUACUCUCUAGUUGCCCUGCACAACCUUCUUGUUUCAGUGGCUUCCUGUGUUGCAGAAUAGAAACUCCGGGGCAAAAGAGCUACAGUAACAGCCACAUGUGGGCUCACUGCUGUUGUGGAGCAUGGGCUUAGUUGCCCCGAGGCAUGUGGAUUCCUCCUGGACAAGGGAUGGAACCUGUUUGCCCUACAUUGGCAGGUAGAUUCUUAAUAACUGGAGCACCAGGGACAUCCAAUGGAUGGAACACUUCAUAACUAAUUUUCUUAACUUUAUGCAUAAUAUAUCAUGAAAUACCAGGCUGGAUGAAUCCCAAGCUGUAAUGAAGAUAGAAACAAGCUCAGUUCUGUGAA